CAGCCGCCGCGGGAAUACGAAGGGUGCAAGCGUUACUCGGAAUUACUGGGCGUAAAGCGUGCGUAGGUGGUGGUUUAAGUCCGUUGUGAAAGCCCUGGGCUCAACCUGGGAAUUGCAGUGGAUACUGGAUCACUAGAGUGUGGUAGAGGAUAGUGGAAUCUCCGGUGUAGCAGUGAAAUGCGUAGAGAUCGGAAGGAACAUCUGUGGCGAAGGCGACUAUCUGGGCCAACACUGACACUGAGGCACGAAAGCGUGGGGAGCAAACAGGAUUAGAGACCCCCGUAGUCCCUGUCUCUUAUAC
rnacentral:rRNA from 1 species